rnacentral:lncRNA from 1 species
UUAGGAGCAUUUCUUUUGAUCAAAUGCUUUUUGCAGCUGCCAUAGGUAGAGCAGAAGGAGGGCUGUCCAUCUGCUGAGAAUUUCCAGUGUUCCCUGGUGCAGCCCCACCCAGACUCCAAGGCCUAGUACUUCUCCUACUCCAUGGGUCCUGGGAUGGAUCUCUCAGGUCGCCAGGCCUGGCAGCAUCGCAGAGGGUGGCAUCCAGUCCAUCUUUAACUCGUGACUCCCAAAGUUAUAUCCCAAGCUACGAUGACUGAUCAGUUCUCCCUACAGUGGAGGGGCUCUGUAGCUUCACCAGUCAAAGGAUCAGCCAUAUGAUGUUUGUGUCUGUAUCUUCAAGCGGCUAUCUAUAGUGAAAGGACAACCGUGGAGCUUCAUCUACCCUCAGUCUUCCUUCUACAGAUGUCCCCAGCUUGAAUUACCCAUCAUCUCUCACCCUGGACAUCAUCUCAGUCUAUUCUGUCUCCUAAGCCACUUUCUGAAGCUGUCGCUUGAUUGAGUAUUAAUGACUCCUUUCAC